CCCCCUUCUUGGUGGGGCCAGCUAGGGUCCCUUUCCAGCGGGGGCCGCGGCGGCCGUGCUGCGAGGGGCCAUCCCAGCGCCGCGAGCAACCAUGGGGCCAGGGCAGCGCCGUGCGGCUGCGCCUUUCUCGGAAUAGCUCACAAUGGACUUUAUUUACUUAGCCGCUUUUAACCAGCCAUGCUGCGGACAGAAAGACAAAAGCGGCGACAGCAGCUUUUCUUUUAUCGGUGUGCCGCAUGAAGAAAAGGCGUGGAGUGGAGCUGGCAGCCAGCGAGGCUUGCCCAGUGCCGGGGGAGACCAUGUGACCAAUAGAGAGAAGCACGGCGAGCAAUUCCCUGAUUGUGGAGCUUAGACAAGAUCAACCUUUCAGCGCUGCAGAGCUCUAUAAAAACUGUUUCAAUUGAUAGAACUUGAGAACAAAGGAACCUACAGAUACCAAUUCUCUCCCGAGUCAGAGAAAAGGAAAAAGUGAGGACAUGUGAGGAGAAAAAUAUGGUGACACUAAGAUCGGUGCAAAAGAAGGAGGGGGAGGAGGACGUGCUCUGAGCAUCGGAGCUGAGAUUCUUCUGCAAGCCAUAGUGAGGACUAUAAUAAAACAAACUGUUUCCCUGUAAUUCAUUAAGUGCAUGGGGGGGAUGCAGCAUUCACCUGCGGCCCAUGAGAAAAAAGCACUCGUGCUGGAGUGUGUGGAUGCUGAAAAGCUGUGAUCUGGUGAGAGGCUUAAACAGAGAGAAAGAGAACCCUUGCUUUCAGAGAUUAAGAAAGAGGACCCUUGCUUUUAUGGUCUAGAACAGCUUGUCCUUAAAAACUGCACCCCAUAGCUAAAUGGCCUAUGAAAAUCAGUUGUGGGAAGACUGCAAGCCAUGGGAGGGACUUCAUGUUGCAAGCAGGUUCCAGGCAGACUGUUAGCUGUGAAAAUUAAAACCACCUCGAAAAAGUGCACAGAAAACUUUCCCAUAGGAAAGACCCCAUGGCAUAGCAAAAGAGACUCCACUCCUUAAGCAAAGUGAAAAAAGACCUUAAGAAGUGGCAAACUAACUUAAAUUCCCAUAUUUUGUCUCCCUGUGCUGUCGGUGGGAAAGAAAGAAGGGCUGGGGUGGGUGGGGGGUAAGGUAUUCUAAAACUUUAUUUUUGGUUCUCAUUAUCCUCUUCUAAUUCUGUUAAGAAUUUUUCCUGUAUGUGUUUUAAAAUUCUGAGCAUGUUUUGCCCUUAAAGUGUUUUCUCCUAAUCUUUAUCUCACACCAUGAGUUUUCUUUCCCCCUCCUCUGCUUAACUAAAGCAGAGGAAAAUUAGUAAACGAUAUUCAUGGGUGCGCUGACAUUUGGCCAGGAUCAACCCAUAACACUAACCUAGCUAUCACUGACACAAAACUGUCUGUGCUGUUCUGUGAUGGGUUGACAAUGACCAGCAGCGAAGCCCCCACCCCGUCACAUGCUCACUUCCCAUUGUAAUAGGUAACAAUACAUUUGUUCAUUAAUAGCUAGAUAAUUUAAAUUAUAAAACAAUAGCUAAAUAGCUCUUGUUUAGCAGGAUACCUAUGCAGCCACGUAUGGGAAAACUUUUAAAGAAUUGCUUGGGUUACAAACCCCCCCCUUGUAACCAGAUACAGCUACAUCUGGUAACAAUUACUAACCUCGCUAGAAUUGCUUGGUCCGCAAAAUUGCACCCCAUAGAUAUAGGAGACUUUCUGAAACACAUAUGGUAACAAUUAUUAACCUUGCAAGAAUUGCUUAGCUUGUAGAAAUUUAGACUUAUAGAUAUGCCUUAUAAGGAAAGCGGCAAAAGAGGAAGACUUGGGGCCUUCAUCCCACGACCACCAGAAGGCAGAAAAAAGACCCCUAGCAACCGGAGGAGCAAGCGCAGAAGACGGACCACGUCAUCCAGGAAUCCGGAGAAAAAGGACAAUAAAAAGCAAACUUUGAAGGGGGAAAGUUGCGCGCCUAAGAGGAGCAGAGACUCCUGGCUGCCCAGCGCUGAAUCUUGCUUAUUCUUGCUUGCAUAAUAAUACAGAUAAUUGUACGGUUCUUAAAUUUGGUCGAUUCGUUUAUCACAAUUUGGUGCCGUGACUCGGAUCCUGAGACAGGGUUGGUUUGAGAAUUUGGGGGGGGCGCCCCCAACCCCUUUGGUGGCCCUGAUCUUUUCAACCGACCCACUCCCCUGGACCGACGAACCUAAAUUCGAAAAUAAGCAAGGAAACACCGGUAACCCUGUAAACUUUGUGCACAAAGAUCCGAGCGAAGACGCAGGACGCAGACAGCCGUCCGAACUGCUGAAAAAGGCUGGACACAUGCCAGUCGAGUGAAAGGACCCAUCUCUGCAGACACCCCUUGGGAGGUGACCAGUCGCCCUGGAGAUCUACGAUUGACUCUUCAGAAAACAUAAGAACGCAUAGCAACUGGUAAUAUGAAUGACUGAGAGGGAGAAACACCGACUGCAGCUACUGGUCAGAGACAAUAUUCAAAGGGUGGGAAAGGAACUGAAGUGUCCUCUUAUUUGGCACACAUGGGAUGAUCUGAUAUCAGUGGCUGAGGUCCUCGCUAAGAUAAGGCGGCCACUUUCAAACAGACCUGGGUGCAUUAAAUGUGGUGAUCCCAUCUGUAGGGCAUGGAUAAAAAUAUUUUGUGGGGGAUGUAGGCUCAAAUGGUGGGUUUUCCAAUCACAAUUAGGUGGGGGUAUCUGCUGUCAUACUUGUGAUUGGGGUUGGAGGAGGGAAAACCCCUACACGGCCCUACGCAAAUUUGCAACAGCCCCAGGACAAAGAGAAAUCCCUUAUAGGGAAGAAAUAGCAUUAUUGAAAAUAUAGAGCAGAGGACACAUUGGGCCCUGGCCUGGGCAAUACAUCACCAAUUGUUGCGGUGUGUUGCAAUGUCCUGUUUUAAACUUCCGGGUCCCUUCCCAGGUGUGCCUAUACCUCUCUCCCUUCCCCCUCGCCCCCUUGCUGAGUGAGUCCUGUCAAUCAGGCUUAACUUCCAGCAAGGCGUCGUGUGGUUGGUCGAUUUCAAAGGAUGCUCCUCAGGCCUGGGGGACAUUGGAUAGGUGUCCCUAGUCCCUUGAGACCCUGUCCCUUUCACCUGCUUGGUAGCUCACCUGUCCCCUCCCCUUCCCCUGUCCCCAAGCUUAAAAGGUUAAUCAGACCAUGCGGCCGGUAUUCUGUUGGAGCAGUUGCCCCGGUUCAGACCUCUGUAACCAUGGAAUAAACAUCUGGAAACCCUC